CACUGAACAGCACAAGCCUAUCAAGCAUUCAGGCACCAUGAAAACCAUCAGCUGUCUUUUUCUCUUCCUCUUUUGUGUUGGGACAUUCGGAUCUCAAGAAAAGGUGGGUUCCUGCCCCCCAAUUGAACCUGGAUCCUUUGGCAUUUGUGCUUUUACGUGUCACCAGGACAGCAACUGUUUAGGACGUUUGAAAUGUUGCCGAACCCCUUGUGGUGGAACAUCCUGCCGAGAACCUAUAUUUUACUAAAAGGCUGUACAGUUUAAAUUCUCAUUCAUUGAUGCAAGUGGAUAUAGAAGGAAAAUCAACUCCAAAGAAAUAUAAAAAACAUUUUCUGUUGGAAUUAAAAUAUAAUUAUUGAAAA